AAUUUGUAAUGAUGUUAUUUAUCUACAUUUGAACAGAUAUAUCAGAGAACUAUGAUGAUGCUAUUAUUACUGGAAUAACCCCAACUAUAAUAGCAGUAGACACAUCAGAGGAUUAUGAUGACGUCAUCGCUGCUGGACAAGAUGCAGAAGAUUAUGAUGACGUGGAAGAGCUGCCGAAAAACUGACCAUUGCCGCCAAAUGCCUUUACUGAGGAAAUUUCUUAACUCAGAAAUCAAUAUCUAAAUCAAAUAACAAGCUCUCAAUUCACAUGAUAUUACACUUCUUGAGCAUUGUGCUUUUGAGCUUCAUACAUUUUGAAAUAUUGUAUCUAUGGAGGAAAACCUUCACUGUUGUUUAGUUGAAUGUCACUAAAUUUAAUUUCUAUUACCUUUAAAAAAUCCAGUUACUUAAAAUCUUCACAUGGUUCCACUGAAUAAUGUUAUUUAUAGAGAAAAAUUUACACAGCUCAUGUUUGUAGCGGGUUAUCCUACUGAAACCUGAUUUUAUGUUUUGAUGAUGAUGGUUGUGAUCAUCAUGAUCACUCCAAAAUCUCUCACAGUUGGUCAUUUUAAUUGAGUUCUGUUGACUGUGAAGGCCAUAACAUAUGAUUAGCAUGAUUAUCAAACCAUGCAGUGAACCACCAAGCACUGUGGAUGGGGAAGGACCACUCUGAUUAGGAGGAAAAUGUUCAUGCAGUAAAGGUCAGUCAGAAGAUCUUUGUGCUGCAUAACCAAACCAUGGCAGAAAAAAUUCAAUAUGUGCUACCUUACUGUAUAACUAAUCCUUUAAUUUAUCACCCAUCUGUACUCACUGGCCUGCAAGUUUAUGUGCUAAUCGUCUGGUCAUCUUCCACUCUUGAAAUCCUCAGAUUCUUGUUUUUUUCUGCAUUCUUUAGCAUCAUUCAUCACUCUAGAGAUUGUUGUGUGUGAAAAUCCCAGGAGAUUAGCAGUUUCUGAAAUCCUUAAACCAGCCCUAAAUCUGGCACUUGGUUGAAGUAACAAAAUCUAAUUUUUUCCCCCAUUCUGGUGUUUGAUGUGAACAUUGCCUGAAGCUCUUGACCCUAUUCUGCAUGAUUUUAUGCAUUAUGCUGCUGUAACAUGAUUGAAUGUUUGGAUAUCUGCAUAAAUGAGCAGAUGCACACGUGUUUCUAUUAAAGUGGAUGGUGAUUGUAUAAAUAAAAUCCACAUCAUUUUGAUGUUUUUCUAUAAUACAUGUACACAUUUUAACCACCAGAUGGAACCGUAUAACUUCUCAGCAAAUAGCUCUGGUGAAGUUUUCUGAUGAAUCUAUGUCAGACAUGAGCCGAAUGUAUUUUAUUCUUGUUUAUUAAUGUGUGUAAUUUUCCCCAUAUGCUCAUUUAGUGUAUGGGAACAUUUUUACUGCUUAACCAAAAACAAUAAAACAUUUGAUAA